rnacentral:tRNA from 1 species
GCCUGGGUGGCUCAGUCGGUUGGGCAUCCGACUUCAGCUCAGGUCACGAUCUCACGGUCUGUGAGUUCGAGCCCCGCCUCGGGCU